UACGUAGGGUGCAAGCGUUGUCCGGAAUUAUUGGGCGUAAAGAGCUCGUAGGCGGCUUGUCGCGUCGACUGUGAAAACCCGCGGCUCAACCGUGUGGUCUGCAGUCGAUACGGGCAGGCUAGAGUUCGGUAGGGGAGACGUGGAAUUCCUGGUGUAGCGGUGAAAUGCGCAGAUAUCAGGAGGAACACCGGUGGCGAAGGCGGGUCUCUGGGCCGAUACUGACGCUGAGGAGCGAAAGCGUGGGGAGCGAACAGG
rnacentral:rRNA from 1 species